AGCGCAGACGGUUAUUUAAGUCUGAAGUGAAAGCCCUCAGCUCAACUGAGGAAUGGCUUUGGAAACUGGAUGACUUGAGUGCAGUAGAGGAAAGUGGAACUCCAUGUGUAGCGGUGAAAUGCGUAGAUAUAUGGAAGAACACCGGUGGCGAAAGCGGCUCUCUGGUCUGUAACUGACACUGAGGCUCGAAAGGCGUGGGGAGCAAACA
rnacentral:rRNA from 1 species